rnacentral:rRNA from 1 species
UACGUAGGGUGCGAGCGUUGUCCGGAAUUACUGGGCGUAAAGAGCUCGUAGGCGGUUUGUCGCGUCGUCCGUGAAAACUUGGGGCUCAACCCCAAGCUUGCGGGCGAUACGGGCAGACUUGAGUACUGCAGGGGAGACUGGAAUUCCUGGUGUAGCGGUGAAAUGCGCAGAUAUCAGGAGGAACACCGGUGGCGAAGGCGGGUCUCUGGGCCGAUACUGACGCUGAGGAGCGAAAGCGUGGGGGAGCGAACAGG